rnacentral:rRNA from 1 species
CAGCAGCCGCGGGAAUACCGAGGGUGCGAGCGUUAAUCGGAUUUACUGGGCGUAAAGCGUGCGUAGGCGGCUUUUUAAGUCGGAUGUGAAAUCCCUGAGCUUAACUUAGGAAUUGCAUUCGAUACUGGGAAGCUAGAGUAUGGGAGAGGAUGGUAGAAUUCCAGGUGUAGCGGUGAAAUGCGUAGAGAUCUGGAGGAAUACCGAUGGCGAAGGCAGCCAUCUGGCCUAAUACUGACGCUGAGGUACGAAAGCAUGGGGAGCAAACAGGAUUAGAUACCCGCGUAGUCCCUGUCUCUUAUAC